rnacentral:lncRNA from 10 species
CUCAUUAUAAAAGGCAUACAUCGUUCUUGUAGAAAACAUGGAAAAUACAAUUUAUAAAGAAGAAAAUAAACUCAUCUCUAAUGUGACAACCAGUGAUACAAUCACUCUUAACAUUUACUUUCAAAGCUAUCUAUUGCAUUAAAGUUUAAGCCUUACGGGGGCAGAAACCAUGUCCAUUCAUUCCUGUUCUCCACCCUGUCCUUGCUAUCUUACCAUAGUAGGCAUAUAACACAUUUAAAGGAAACACACACUCACACACUUAGGGACCAAACUAUAUUCACAGGAUUUUUGGCCACAUUACUUUUAGAGCUGGGACUACAGGUGUGUGCCACCAUGCCAGGUGAAUUUUUUGUAUUUUUUUAUAGAGACAGGGUCUCACUAUGUACCCAGGCUGUUCUCAAACUCUUGGCCUUGAGAGAUCCUCCCACUUCAGCCUCCCAAAAUUCUCGGAUUAC